GACGUAGGGUCCGAGCGUUGUCCGGAGUUACUGGGCGUAAAGGGCGCGUAGGCGGCUCGGCACGUCCGUUGUGAAAUCGCCCGGCUCAACUGGGCGGGGUCGGCGGAUACGGCCGAGCUGGAGCAAGCUAGGGGGUAAUGGAAUUCCCGGUGUAGUGGUGGAAUGCGUAGAUAUCGGGAGGAACACCAGUGGCGAAGGCGGUUACCUGGAGCUUUGCUGACGCUGAUGCGCGAAAGCGUGGGGAGCGAUCCGG
rnacentral:rRNA from 1 species